GUACUUAACUGGCAGGGGAGACACCAUGAUCACUCACGAAGGUGGUUUUCGCAGGGUGAGGCUUAUCCGUUGCACUCCAAAUGUGCUGACCCCUGCAAUUUUCCCAAAUGUGGGAAACUCGACUGCAUAAUUUGUGGCAGUGGGGGACUGCAUUCAUGCUCUCCCCUG